GAUGCAUGUUCUGGACUGUCUGCUUACGAACUCAAGCGCCUUGAGAACAUCACGCACAAGGAAGCCUUCUUGUCGUCUCUGAAGAUAUGGCAAGUAUGUGGACAUUUUAGUAAAGGUAAAGGACUAAUCAGCUGUUUUCCAUUUCAUUUGCCCUCUCCCUACCUCAGUCUCCACCCUACUCUCCUCUUAGUCUCUUUUUCUCUUCCUCCUGCUCUUUCACUGUUGUCCCCCACUGUACGGUCCUUCUCUCCUUCUCCUUUCUUUCUUUUGUAUUCACUUGUUAUCUUACAGGUGUAACAUAGAUUUUAAAAAUAUAUAAAAUUAGAUUUUGGUGGGUUCUUGUAUUUUUUUUAACAAUGUAGUUUACAAAAUAUUGUAAUUUCUGUCUUCAUCCAUUAGCACACCUUUUAGUAUAAUUAUGGUUGCUGUCUAUACAGAAAAACAAGGAGAUAAUUAUUCUUCUUUGUCUCGCCCGCGCUCUCUCUCCCUCUCUCUCUCUCUCUCUCUCUCUCUCUCUCUCUCUCUCUCUCUCUCUCUCAAAAGGUAGUGGAGGAUCUGAGGCAGACAGUGAAGCCAAAGCCCAAUGUCAAAAGGUUAAUGGCUUCAUUGGAAGAAAAAUCUCUGCAGUCUCCCCGGAAAUCCCUCCGUUCUAAAAUAAAAAACCUCACCCCAAGUGAAGGGUUGACCCAUAAUCAACCUUGUGACUUUUAUUUUUCCAGGCUUUUAGGGGGUGAUCAGGUCUUAAGGACAUUGAAUCCAGAGAGGCAGAGGAAGACAUGGCAGGAAACACCAUGGGCAUCUACAAAGUACAAUCAGAGGAUCAUGAUGUCGGUGAUGGACGCUUCACUGAUGUCCGUGUUGUGCUGGAAGGUGUGGAGGUUCUCCACAACCUGCAGAAUGUCACUCAUGCAUGGGUUAUGUUAUAUGGCCUGAUCUACGCACUCAAUUUCAACUACCCUAAAAGCCUGAAGUGUACAUUUUGAGGUGUACCAGAAAAUCCUGAUGGACCUGGACUCAACCAAGCUUUCCCCGAAAGUACAGACACUGAAACUGAAAUUGCUCCAGUGAUUUGGCUAAAAAUAAUAACUUAUACAGCCCCUACCCAUUUUUUUUUCACAUUGUGCUCCAACCCAGAGAUAUGUUAAAAUGAUUUCCUAGUUCUAUAAUGAUAUGUUAAUUAGCAACUGAAAAUGGAUCUCUGAGUACAGUUUUAUUUUUUAUUAAUUUUUUUUUUGGGUGUCCAAGCAGUCAUGUGAUGUUCGAGUGUGGCUGUGUAAGUGGGUUCAUAUGGAUGGUUUCCUAAAUGUUGGCUGAUGUUAACUUGGCUAAAUCCAGAGUUUUGUAUGAAAGACAAAUAUAAAUAAAUCUGGAAUUUUCCAGUUGGUCUAAUUCAAUGUGAUGCAUUGUUUGAUUUGGUUUAGUAUAUAAGCAUACAUUAAACAUGAUUCAAAUAAAUGUUAUUUAUAUUUUUUAGUUACCCCGAUUUAGUUCUCUUAAUCAUUAUGCAAUUUAUACAAUAAACUUUAUUUUUUUAAAUAAAUACACUUUUUAUUAUUAAUUUAGAAUAAUUACACUUUACAUGAACUAAUUACGUAAACCUGAGGAUUAUGCAUUUAAAAUAAAUAGGUUUUAUUA
ensembl:lincRNA